GUGCCAGCCGCCGCGGUAAUACCGGCAGCCCGAGUGAUGGCCGAUCUUAUUGGGCCUAAAGCGUCCGUAGCUGGCCGCACAAGUCCGUCGGGAAAUCCACCCACCCAACGGGUGGGCGUCCGGUGGGAACUGCGUGGCUUGGGACCGGAAGGCGCGACGGGUACGUCCGGGGUAGGAGUGAAAUCCCGUAAUCCUGGACGGACCGCCGAUGGCGAAAGCACGUCGCGAAGACGGAUCCGACAGUGAGGGACGAAAGCCAGGGUCUCCAACCGGAUUAGAAACCCUAGUAGUCC
rnacentral:rRNA from 1 species